rnacentral:rRNA from 1 species
GACGAACGCUGGCGGCGUGCUUAACACAUGCAAGUCGAACGAAGUGGCGAACGGGUGAGUAACGCGUAAUCAACCUGCCCUUCAGAGGGGGACAACAGUUGGAAACGACUGCUAAUACCGCAUACUGAAGGAGGGGAUUGCGUCUGAUUAGCUAGUUGGAGGGGUAACGGCCCACCAAGGCGAUGAUCAGUAGCGGGUCUUAGGGGAGGAACGGCCAAAUUGGUCCGGAGACCGGCCCCAGACUCCUAGGGGAGGCAGCAUGGGGGAAUCGUCCGAAAUGGACGAAAGUCUGCCGGCGCAACGCCGCGGGAGGGAUGACGGCCUUCGGGUUGUAAAGCUCUGUUAAUCGGGACGCGUUACCGGAAUCGAAAGCCACGGCUAACUACUUGCCAGCAGCCGCGGUAAUAC